CUGAAAUAGUGUGUCACGGGGGUUGGUCACUCUGUCUGCUGCUGAGCCGUGAAAUUAUUGUAAACAAAGAUCGUCAUCCCCGACUUCCUAGCCCCGACUUCCUGAGAAUUAUCGUUGUAAUUAAAGAAUCUUGUGAGGCUGGUAUCCCAGAGUUGGUGAGGGAAGGAACGAGGGGAAUUUGGAGAACCUUUAUCUGUGACCUUGUUGCCCUAAGAAUGGUCACCAUGAGGCCCAUCUGUGUUUGGUGGUGUGACCUGAGCCUGUCGCAAGGAUUUGUCCACCAGGCACAUUAGACAACACAUUAUGCUUCCAAUAUCCUCCGAAGCGGUAGUACUUCCUUGUUUGGUAGCUGCCUACUACCAUCAUCAGACUUAUUUUUUACUUCCAUUUACUGUAUUUUGUCAUUCUAUUUCCUCUUGUUUUCUUAAAUUUGGUGGGGUUUUUUGUGUGUAUAUAAGAACUUAGGCUAUGAUAUAGUGGGAUUUUAAACUUUGUUCUGUCAGUAAGGUAUGAACAUAGGGUAUGUGUUUUGACCCAAGAAUGUCCAUACGUAACCCGGGGACUGCCUGUAUGUUGUUUUAUUUUAUUUUAAUCAAUAAAGUGCAUUCAGUUUAAUGGAGGCUUAUUAAUGUUACAUAAUAUAAGGUAUUAUGCAAGUGUAUACAGGAGGUACCCAGGUUACAUACGUCUGAUUUAGGAACAUCCGCCGAUACAAACAAGAUCCCAUGAAGUUAAGCUUUAAAUUUACAAUAUUUUAUUUACCUGAUGUUUUAUGCUUUUGUUUUUUGUUUUUACUGUACAGGCAUUCCCCGACUUAGGACAGGGAUACGUUCUUGGAACCUGAUCGUAAGUCGAGUUGUUCGUAAGUCAGAACAGUGUUAAUUCCGUAGUUUAAGUUAUGUUAAGGCACAACCUUACCCAUACGAAACAACAGUAAUAUUCCCUACAUAACAAAUAAUGUAAAUACUGUAAAUAAAUUGAUGUUAAACAAUAUAGAAUAAGGAAAAUGUAGCUAUUGGGAUCCUGCUCGUAAGUGUGGGUGUUCGUAAGUCGGACGGUCGUAACUCGAGGAUUACUUGUACAGUAUUUUGUCAUUCUUUUUCAUCUUUCCUCUUAAAUUAAGUGAUUUUAGGAGUAUAUAAGGACUUAGGCUAUGAUAUAGUGCGAAUUUAAACAUUGUUCUGUAAGUACGGUAUGCACAUAGGGUAUGUUUUGACUUAUGAACAUCCGUAGGGACAUAACUCAUACUUAACCCAGGACUGCCCGUAUGUACUUCUGCAUUUUUUAUGUUAAAUUAGUUUAGUUCAUUAAUAAUGUACAUGUACCUGUAUUGUACAGUACUGUACGUGUAAUUUUAUAGUGUAAAAUACUAUUUAUGCAUGUGAUGAUUUUUUUUCAGAAGUGUUGCAUAAAAGUGUUAUGCUGAAAGAAUAAAACACUUAUGGUGUUAUGUUUGUACAGUACAUUGUCUUAAGUUUAGCUUAAAUAAUAAUUUGUAUUCAUUUUAA